rnacentral:rRNA from 1 species
AUAUCAGUAAGCGGAGGAAAAGGAACUAACAAGGAUUCCCCCAGUAACGGCGAGUGAAGCGGGACCAGCUCAAAUUUAGAAUCUCUGUCGAAAGGCAGCGAAUUGUAGUCUAAAGAAGGAGAGGCAGGGUGUGGGGGUGGAUCAAGUCCCUUGGAAUAGGGCGCCAGAGAGGGUGAGAGCCCCGUAACGUUCACCCUUUAGCCUGUGGUCUGAUCCUUUCGACGAGUCGAGUUGUUUGGGAAUGCAGCUCAAAGCGGGUGGUAAAUCUCAUCCAAGGCUAAAUACUGGCAAGAGACCGAUAGCGCACAAGUA